GAACGCACAUUGCGCCCCUUGGUAUUCCGAGGGGCAUGCCUGUUCGAGCGUCAUUACAACCCUCAAGCACUGCUUGGUGUUGGGCCUCGCCGGUCACCCGGCGGGCUCUAAAAUCAGUGGCGGCGCCGUCGGGCUCUGAGCGUAGUAAUUCUUCUCGCUACAGGGCCCCGGCGGAGGCUGGCCAGCAACCCCCAACUUUCUAUGGUUGACCUCGGAUCAGGUAGGGAUACCCGCUGAACUUAAG
rnacentral:misc_RNA from 1 species